ensembl:lncRNA
GUCAGGCAGCCGGCGGGCGGUGGAGGUGGGGGCCGCCGCAAACUGCUGCCGGAGCCCCCGGGCAGGGCAGCAGGAGGCACCCCGUGCUGCGGGCAGGCUGCCCAGCCAUGGGGCUCUAUAGGAGCCCUGCUCCACAAGUCUCCUCUGGAGCGGUUCCUAGUCCAUAAGAGCAUUGCUGCUGCCCGACAGCAGGGCCUCGCGGGGAACGUGUGUGUCUGGUGGUGGGGCUGGGGAACAGAGCUCCUUAGAAUGCUUCUGAGUAUCGCACAGAAAGGCCUGCGUUACGGUUGGAAAUGCGAUAUUCUUCCGGUUUGCUUCCACUCUUGUUUUGUGUCACUGAGGUACCUGGGUCUGUUCAGCCUGGGGAAAAGAAGCCUGAGGAGGGAACUGAUGAAUGUAUAUAAAUAUCUAAAGGGAGAUGGGAGGCAAAUGGAUGAGGGCAGGCUCUUCUCAGGGGUGCAUAGCGAGAGGACAAGGAGCAGCGGUCUCAAACUUGAACGUAGGUGUAGCAGAAAUGCUAUGUCAGAGCUUGGAACAGUGAUUGAGCACCGGGCGGGAAGGCAGGGCCAACCCAGGAGAGCUCAGGUGCAUGCAACGUACCUGAGUGACUGGAAGGGCUGGAGCCAAGAUGCAACCCUUCCCAGACCUCAUGUAAGGGUUGGCAGUGGAGGCAAGGAUACCUCAUCUGGAGAUCCCUGCACACCUGAGGCCUUCUGAAGGCAACUAUUUUGUCACUGGGAAGCACUAAUUUGUGGAAGCAAAACAACUCCAGGCAAAGGAUGUGCUUUGACAAAUUUCCCAUAUUGAGGACGACUGGGAGAAGCAUGGAAAGAAGAGGAAAUAAAUGUAGCACGAUUGCAAUGUCAUGGGGGCUUGCUGCCCUCGAAUUGUUUUUCUUUUCCUUUCUCCAGCAUGGCCUGCUGUGAAAGACAGAGAGCCUGCGUGAGCAGGCCUGGCAUCAUCUGCAAGGAUAGCGCCCAUGUCGAAACCAGGUAGAACUCUCUGGAGUUUUCCUGAGUAAGUUGAGAUGUCCCUUCAGUCCGAGGUGGGGCAGGAGCACACACGAAUGUGAGCAGGAGCUGAAGGAGGCAUGACACAGGGCUGAAGCUUUGCGAGCUCCAGAAACUCUAAGGCAAACGGCUGUGGUUGGCUUGAGACUGUGCAACAGCCAGCUACAACUGAAUGCUUUAUUGCCGUCUGGAAGUGUUUAUUUUCUGAACAUAAAUUCAAGGGACAGAUUCAAGGCAUGUCUAGAAAUAAAGCAUAUCAUCAUGUGAGCUAAGCUGACAAGGACAAUUUACUGUACCCUGCAUUCGUUCUGGGCCAAUCGGAAGAGAAGAGGCUAUUAACAUCCUGAAAUUCCCGCUGUUCGGCUCACCCUGUCCCUUCUCUGAACUCCGGAAUGGCAUGUAUUAACCCCUUAAGGGCCUCCUGUGCACGGCAUGCAUCAGAGAAGGGACACUUGUUUAGGCCUGGUAGACAUAUGCAGUAUGUCCAGCUCUUAUUGACAGCAGCAGAGAGCUGCUUUAAGAGCCGUGACACGGCCUGCGCUGUCUGGAGGCCCAGCACAGGGUUAACGUCUUUCCUAGAGGCAGUGUCAGUGCUGCAGAUGAGCGCUGACUUAGUCUGCUUAAAUACGAGAGUUCACUGGUCAGCUUGACCUUGAAUUCUCUUGCAGAGGCAGGAGCAGGCUGACACGCUGUUCGUGUUUCCAGUGGCUGCAAAGUUCAGGGAAUGUAACUCAACGGCAGCUCACAUGCCAUGAGUACCACUGAGAAGAGAAAGUUAAUUUCCUACUUUUUAAAUUGCUCCAGCAAGAAAAGUAGCAAAACCAGAGGAGAGUCUGAAAAUAAAACACAAAGGGCACCACAGCAGAUAUUGCAGAGAAAAGGUGCCAUUCAUAGUCAGGAACGUGUUAUAAUAAAAUCCACAAGCAAAAGUCCACAGAGGACUGUUUGCAUAGCAGCAUUACAAUAUCUACAUGUGUAAAUAGAGGGAACAGCCUUUAAAUCCAUGUUGCAGCAGUGAGUGUUGGAUCUUUUACCUGCAGCCGCACUGCCUGAAGUGUUCCUUCUGACUUCAUGGAUGUCCUUGGAUAGGACAUCACGAUCAGCCGUAUUUGAACGUUGAAGCUGAGGGAGAAAUGAUAUUCAGAGUUUGAAUGGGAAAAGAGCACCUCUGCACCUCCAGGCCCUGCAUGAGAAAUUGUACGCUGGAGACCUAUGGAGUGCACAGGGAAAGGGAAACCUGAGAAGAGAACUCUGUAUCAACUUUUCUGGGCUUUCUUUUAUGUCAAGGCUGGCUCACACGUGGCUUGGUGAGGCUGAAGGCGCAGCAAACCGAGGCAUCCUGCAGACCCAUAGGGAGAGGCAGGAGCACAAGCACCACCAGACACAGGAGCCUGGGUUGCAUUCAGCUCCUCAGACAGCCUCACUGUUUGUUUAUUGCUGUGCCUAAGGAGUAAAUCCACACAUAUUAAAAACAACACCCAACCUAUCCCCCACUCUGUCCCAUUUUUCAUGUGGGUCUUUGUCAUUCCUCUGUCUUUUGGCACAGUCAUGCAGCAGAAUUUUUCUACUGUAUCGGUAUACUAUUCACAGCUGUAACCAAAACAUUUUUUCUCCUAUCUAGAUCUACUCCUAGAUCACCUGGGGUAUUCUUCUCCUGCUUAGGAGCCUCUCUGAUUCACUAUCUGGCUAUUACACAGAGCUCAAGGAUUGAAGCCUUCAGUACGAUCCCAGGAUAAUAUAAGAUCCACACAGAAUCAUUUAUCUGAAGUGACGUGUCUGAUGCACUGGUGGAAGUUUUCCUAAGAGAUUUCUAAAUGUCCUGGUGGCUGACGGUAAAGACACCAAGGACUCAGAGUCAUGGGUUUCUCUUUAUUACAAGCCCUAAAACACCCAGCAGAAAGACAAAGCUGAGUGAAUUAAUGUUUUCUGACAACUAAGAUACUGUAUUGUCCCACCAAAGUCCUUUCAAAGACCCCUUUAAGAACAGAGUAGUUUGGGGGCUGAAAGGAUCCUAGUUCUGAAACUGGUCUUUAUCUUCUGUUGCUAUCGAAAUGUUUUGUGCUUUAAAUAUGCACUUGCUAUUUCUUAGUUUUAGACUCUCCUAAUACCAAAUUAGCCUUCUGAGCAGAGGUCAGCAGUGCAGGAGUGCAGGUCUUACUGGUUCAGAGGAACACAAAAUCACACAGGCUAAUGCUGAAGUCUUUGUCAACAGCUUCCUGAAUAUCUAGAGACUGAUCAGACAUGAGCUGUCUAUACAGCCAGAUAAUGCUGUUAUUAGAGACACAUUAGUGUGAGGGUUUUUUUUUUUUUUUUUUUUUAAUAUACAUGGCUAAUAGAUACAUUAAUCUCAUAGCUUUCACUGCAAAAGUCUUGGACCAGUGCUUCUGAUUAAUUAUUAAUACUCGUCUUCCUCUUCUAUUUUUCAGUGUAUUUACUUCUUAGCCUCGACUCUCUGUGGUUUUUGGGGGGGGUUUGUUUUUUUGGCUGUUUUUUUCUUUUCCUCCAGAUGAUUACAUAUAGCAAAGCUUGGAUAACUACAUGAGCAUUCACUGCAUUCUUACUUGCCAAUGUCCUUAAUAAUGAUGAAAUGAUAACUAAACAACAACCAAUAUUUUGGAUUUGGGGAGCUGCAGAUACCUGGAGAAAGCACUUUGCGUUAACAGUUGAUGCACUGUUGGUAUAUUGACAAAAAUGGGGCUAAUGCAUUUGUGUAAAGAUCCCCUUUCAAUAAAUUUGUGUAAAGAU